GCGGCGCGGCACGGCGCGGCACGGCGCCCGGAGCGGGAAAAGAGCGUGAAGAGGGAAGAGAAGGGGCGGGGAGGUGGGAAAGCUGGGGGAAGAAGAGCAGCAGCAGCAGCAGCAGCAAGGUCGGACGAGGGAGCAAGGAAACAGCCGCGGCUCCCCACGCGCACUCGCGGCCCCCCAGCGGCCGAGCAGGUCCUCGGGCGAGAUCCCUCGUGCACGCACCAACCGUCCCCCCCCCUCCUCCCCUCGCACACGCGCGGCCCGACCUGCUGCCCGCGCACCGGCCGCCGCCGCCACCAUCCCGCUCCGCCACGGAGCUACUGGAACGCGGGGCCGCCCGCUGUGACGCCACGAGGAAGUCCGAAGAUUGCGCAGCGGUGGUUUUAACGAUUGCUGCUCCUCCGCACCGUAAAAAUACACGCAUUCUUCCCGGCGGGACACAGGAACAGAGCAGCCGCGUUCAGCCAGGUUCAACAGCGAAGCCACUUCUUUCCAGUUCGGGCUGGUUUUCGGUUGUGGGUUCUUGGUUGCUGUGGGAUUUUCGGAGGGGGAUUGCUUCACAGGCGAUCGCUGCAGCAGCGGGUGUAGCACACUGCCGCACGUCUUCUAACUCGUCUGUCGUUCUGUCCAUUCAUUUUGAAAGACGAGUCCUCAAAUCAUUUUAUCUUCUGCAUUAGGCAAAUAUCGCUACGUCAUCCGAAAUUCGGGAAUAAACUCGUUAACUCCAA